rnacentral:rRNA from 1 species
UACGGAGGGUGCUAGCGUUGCUCGGAAUUACUGGGCGUAAAGCGUACGCAGGCGGCUUGGUAAGUCGGAUGUGAAAGCCCCAGGCUCAACCUGGGAACUGCAUCCGAAACUACCUCGCUUGAGUUCGGGAGAGGGAAGUGGAAUUCCUGGUGUAGAGGUGAAAUUCGUUGAUAUCAGGAGGAACACCGGCGGCGAAAGCGGCUUCCUGGCCCGAUACUGACGCUCAUGUACGAAAGCGUGGGGAGCAAACAGG